UUGUAUUUCGCUUCACACGGCUGAGCCGGACCGAGACGGGCUAGGGUUUUUCGCCGAAACCAACACCCUUUUUGCCGCCGCACCACUCCCGCCUCCCCCACCGACCCCUCGCCGCCGCCGGGAAUGGAUUCCAGCGCCGAGAGGCUCCGUGGACUCCGCAUCACUUCACUGGAUGAGCAUGAUGACGAGACCGAGGUGCCGCACCAGCCCCCGUCCGUCGCCGCCGCCGCCGCGGCGGAUGAUGAUGACGAGGAGGAGGAGGAAGAGGCGGAAGUGACGCUUGGUUUCCUGGAGAAGCCGAAGGGCCCCGGCCUCCUCCUGCGCCACCUGUUCCCCAGCAAGGCCGGCGGUAUCCCGGCGUGGUUGGACCCCGUAAACCUGCCGUCGGGGAAAUCCAACUGCUGCGGUUUCUGCGGCGAGCCUCUGCAGUUCGUCCUCCAGAUUUAUGCACCGAUUGAGGACAAUGCUGCAGCGUUUCACCGCACGCUGUUUGUGUUCGUGUGCCCAUCAAUGUCGUGCUUGCUCCGAGAUCAGCAUGAACAGUGGAAGCACAAGCACGGGAAUCCAUGCAGAAGCGUGAAGGUUUUCCGGUGCCAGUUGCCACGGACUAAUGCCUUUUACUCGACUGAACCUCCGAAGCGUAACGGCUCUGACAAGCCACUCUGUCAAGGAGCUCCUGUAUGUCACUGGUGUGGUACCUGGAAAGGCGCUAAAAUAUGUAGUAGCUGCAAGAAAGCAAGAUACUGUUCUGAGAAGCAUCAGGCACUGCAUUGGCGCACUGGUCAUAAGAAUGAUUGCCUCCAGAUAAUCGGUUCUUCUGAUGCUUCAAAUUAUGUUCUGCCUGAUGUAGGAAAAGUUCCUGCUAGCACUUUUUGGCCAGAAUUUGAGUUAGAAAUUGACUAUGAAGGUACUUUUGAUUCCGAUAGCUGUGAUGAAAAUAACUCUAAGUCCUUGGUGAUGCAAAGACACGGCAAACCAGAUGCUAUGAUGCAGUCAUGGAUGGAUCAAUUUGAGGCUGAUGCUGACAACAAAUGCUGGGCAUCUUUUCAAGAGCGGAUCUCAAGAGCACCAGAGCAAGUGUUGAGGUAUUGUCGAGAACCAAAUGCAAAACCUCUGUGGGCGUUAUCGGCUGGGUGUCCAUCAAAUGCUGAUAUCCCAUCAUGUAGCUAUUGUAAAGGUCCAUUAUGCUAUGAAUUUCAGGUAAUGCCACAAUUGCUUUAUUACUUUGGUGUGGGAAACAAACCAGACUCACUUGACUGGGCAACUAUUGUUGUGUACACAUGCCGAGGGUCAUGCGAUCAAAGUGUUAGCUACAAAGAGGAAUUUGCUUGGGUUCAGUUGUACCCUACAACAAUCACGAGGCCAUAAUAACAUUUACCUAUUCCUCGGAGUAACCGCUGUCCUAUGCUGCAGGUGAUCUUGGUUAGUCCCUACACCCUACUCCCUUGGACUGGGAGAAAUGUUGGCUAGGGAGUUUGACAGGGAUCAUCUGUGCACUCCGACGUGAAGACUGGUGCUCCAAGCAACUCCUUUUGGGACUGGAGAUUUUGAUAAGAUUUUGAAAUGGGCAGUGAAUUCAAUGUUUCCAGGUCAAUUGAUCGUGCAGUGUUGAACAUCUUUCGACCUGGGACUACUUGGUGCUGUUACAUUGGCUUUGGUCCAUUUAGGCACUAGGGCCCAUAUAGAGAUGUGAUGGCAAAUAGUUCCAUACUCGCAUUUCUUUGUGGUCACCACCAUGUGCGGUUUAAUGCUUCUUCAUCUUGUUUAAUAUCUUUGAGUUGAUCCUUGGUUUGUUCUGGAUUUUUUUUCCUUCAGAUGGGUGAAACCCAAUGUUUCUGUUGCUUAGUCUCAAAAGGUCCUUACAUACAUUAUAUUUUUCCGACGAUGUCCUUAUUAUCGGCUGAAUUUUUUAUUGUGUUUGUUU